GAUCCUGGCUCAGAAUCAACGCUGGCGGCGUGCCUAACACAUGCAAGUCGAACGAGAAAGGGUAGCAAUACCUGAGUAAAGUGGCGCACGGGUGAGUAACACGUGACUAACCUACCCUGGAGUGGGGAAUAACUGAGGGAAACCUUAGCUAAUACCGCAUAAUACCUACGGGAGGCAGSAGAAAUUCGCUUCAGGAGGGGGUCGCGGCCGAUUARUUAGUUGGCGGGGUAAUGGCCCACCAAGACAGUGAUCGGUAUCCGGCCUGAKAGGGCCCACGGACACACUGGAACUGAAACACGGUCCAGACUCCUACGGGAGGCAGCAG
rnacentral:rRNA from 1 species